rnacentral:rRNA from 1 species
GACGAACGCUGGCGGCGUGCUUAACACAUGCAAGUCGAACGGUGAAGCGCCUUCCUUUUUGGUGGGUGUGGAUGAGUGGCGAACGGGUGAGUAACACGUGAGUAACCUGCCCCCUUCUUCUGGAUAACCGCAUGAAAGUGUGGCUAAUACGGGAUAUUCUGGGUCUGUCGCAUGAUGGGUCUGGGAAAGAUAUUGUUUCGGUGGGGGAUGGGCUCGCGGCCUAUCAGCUUGUUGGUGGGGUGAUGGCCUACCAAGGCGGUGACGGGUAGCCGGCCUGGGAGGGUGGACGGUCACACGGGGACGGAGACACGGCCCAGACUCCUACGGGAGGCAGCAGUGGGGAAUAUUGCACAAUGGGCGCAAGCCUGAUGCAGCGACGCCGCGUGAGGGAUGGAGGCCUUCGGGUUGUGAACCUCUUUCGCCAGUGAAGCGGGCCUGCCUCGUUUGUGGGUGGGUUGACGGUAGCUGGAUAAGAAGCGCCGGCUAACUACGU